GACAUAGGUGGCGAACGUUAUCCGGAUUUAUUGGGCGUAAAAGGAUGCGUAGGUGGCAGGAUAAAAUUUAUCAGUGAAAAGUCAGGCUCAACUUGACGGAAAGUUGGUAAAAAUUGUUCUGCUAGAGGAUAGGAGAGGUUGGCGGAAAUUUCACAUGAGUAAGGGGUGAAAAUCUGUUUGAUCCAUGGAGGACCACCAAAAAGGCGAAAGGCAGCUAAACUAUUUCUACUCCUGACACUGAGGCAUGAAAAGCGUGGGGUAGCAAACCGG
rnacentral:rRNA from 1 species